rnacentral:rRNA from 1 species
GACGAAGGAUGCAAGCGUUAUCCGGAUUCAUUGGGUUUAAAGGGAGCGUAGGUGGCCUUAUAAGUCAGUGGUGAAAUCUUCCCGCUUAACGGGAAAAUUGCCAUUGAUACUGUAGGGCUUGAGUAUAGUUGCCGUUGGCGGAAUAUGACAUGUAGUGGUGAAAUACAUAGAGAUGUCAUAGAACACCGAUUGCGAAGGCAGCUAACGAAACUAUAACUGACACUGAGGCUCGAAAGUGCGGGGAUCAAACAGG